UACGUAGGGGGCAAGCGUUGUCCGGAUUUAUUGGGCGUAAAGAGCGUGUAGGCGGCCUGGAAGGUCAGCUGUGAAAACUCGAGGCUCAACCUCGAGACGUCGGUUGAAACCACCUGGCUAGAGUCCGGAAGAGGAGAGUGGAAUUCCCGGUGUAGCGGUGAAAUGCGCAGAUAUCGGGAAGAACACCCGUGGCGAAGGCGGCUCUCUGGGACGGUACUGACGCUGAGACGCGCAAGCGUGGGGAGCGAACAGG
rnacentral:rRNA from 1 species